UACAGAGGGGGCAAGCGUUGUUCGGAAUUACUGGGCGUAAAGGGCGCGUAGGCGGCCUGCUAAGUCGAACGUGAAAUCCCUGGGCUCAACCCAGGAACUGCGUCCGAUACUGGUUGGCUUGAAUCCGGGAGAGGGACGUGGAAUUCCAGGUGUAGCGGUGAAAUGCGUAGAUAUCUGGAGGAAUACCGGUGGCGAAGGCGGCAUCCUGGACCGGCAUUGACGCUGAUGAGCGAAAGCUAGGGGAGCAAACGGG
rnacentral:rRNA from 1 species